GUCCAGGUUGUAACACAAUGCAACAAACUAAUCCACUCUACCUGCCCCAAACUUCAGUUUCCAUCUCCUUCACACGGCAAUCUUCCAUGAACUAAAUUAAGCCAUGAGCUUCAUCUUCUCAAACUCCACAACCAUUUUUCGAUCUCAAACCACCGCUGCACACAAAAAUGAACUACACAAUCACCGUUCAUUUCCAAGAAUCCAGGCAACCACAUCUGAUCAAGAAAAUCGGACCCAACGACGAAGUUUUUUGUCGUCAUUUCUAGCCACUUCGGUGGCUCUAGGCCUCCAUGCCACCCCGUUGGCACUAGCCGAGAAUUGGGGUACCCGGUCGUUUCUCCGGGAGAGGUUCUUCGAGCCUGGAUUGUCGCCGGAAGAUUCGGUGGCAAGAAUUCGACAGACUGCCGAAGGACUUCAUAGCAUUAGGGGCAUGCUGGAAACCAUGUCAUGGAGGUAUGUUUUGUAUUACAUACGUUUAAAGCAAGCUUAUCUUUCACAGGAUAUGAAAACUGCCAUGACAAUGGUGCCUCAAAGCCGACGAAAUUCCUAUGUUCAGACUGCUAAUGAUUUGGUCGAUAACAUGGCCGAGUUCGAUUAUUACAUUCGGACUCCGAAGGUGUAUGAAUCGUAUCUAUACUACGAGAAGACAUUGAAAUCGAUCGACGAUCUUGUCGCCUUGUUAGCAUAAUACAAAAAGAUGCAUCUGCCGGAAGAGUUCUUCUGAUACUUGCGUUACGAUAAGUAGCAGAUUGAAACUGAGAAAUCCAUAAUUUUUUUUUUCCAGAGCAGCAUAUGAAGUACGUAUUAUAGUGGAGAAAGUGGGUUGCUUUGAAGAAAAUUUCUAGCAUUUUCACAUGAAUAUUGAUUGUUAGAAUUAAAGACAAUUACAGGCAAAUUGAUAGAACUUGAAGACAUAAUGACUUUGUUGUUAAAAGUUUCCGAGUCCUAUUAUAUACUUGUCUAGUAAUAAUAGUUGAUACAAUUUCUCUCAAGAAAACUGUUGUAGUAGAAGGGUGACAAAAAAUGCAAUUCACUCUCUCGUACUUAAGUCUGUAUUGCGAAGUAGAUGGCUAAAAAUGGUCAAAGUUGCCUA